UUUGACCUCGUAUCAGGUAAGAGUACCCGCUGAACUUAAGCAUAUCAAUAAGCGGAGGAAAAGAAACCAACAGGGAUUGCCUUAGUAGCGGCGAGUGAACCGGCAAAAGCUCAAAUUUGAAAUCUGCCAGCAAUGGCCGAAUUGUAAUUUGUAGAUGGUAACUCUGUAAGAAGUCUUUGCUCAAGUUUCCUGGAACGGAACGCCAAGGAGGGUGACAGCCCCGUGAGGCAUUGACAUACUUGCGUGUAGAGUGCUAUCGAAGAGUCGAGUUGUUUGGGAAUGCAGCUCAAAGUGGGUGGUAAGUUCCAUCUAAAGCUAAAUAUUGGCGAGAGACCGAUAGCGAACAAGUACUGUGAAGGAAAGAUGAAAAGCACUUUGAAAAGAGAGUGAAAUAGUACGUGAAAUUGUUAAUAUGGAAGGAUAUAAAACUAGACAUGGAGCCUUAAGGUCUGCAGUCCCUCGGGAUUGUUUUGUCUUUUGGUUCUACACCAGCAUCAGUUUUGGCAGGAGGAUAAACAAUGCGGAAUGUAGCUGCUCUUGCAGUGUUAUAGACGUAUUGCAUACUCUUAGCCGAGACUGAGGUCAGCCUUUGUAGGAUGC
rnacentral:rRNA from 1 species